rnacentral:ncRNA from 2 species
GUUAACGAAUAGGAGUGCCUAAAAGGCUGAGAUAAAAUCCUUGGAACCUGAACGGGUUAAUACCCGCGUAGGAAAUUCGGAAUCUAAAUUU